GCUAUUGUGAAAGGGGCCGCAGCCGCCGCCUCAAGGGGGGCGGGGAGAGGGCCGCUGGGGCCCGGGGCGUCGGGGUCGGCGAGGGGAGGCCGGAGAUGGGGGACGAGGACCGAGGAGCCGGCAGAAGAGCGGGGCGCAGGAAAUUCUGACCAGAAACGAGGGACCUCUGGUUCCCAGAGGGAGGAAAAUCCGUGAUGUCUGCUGCCUAGGGAGGAGUUGUUACCACAGUCUCCCUGGGAUGAAGUAUUGCCAACUACCAACAGUUCUUUCCCAACGGCCACCUCCCCGGCCUUCUUAAGCCACUCCUAGCAUCUUCUGGAGGCUCAUGAAGCGUCAAGGCAAAGGGAUUUUAUACCUUUACUGGGUGUAGGAAUGCUUUAGGGUAUUCUAUGUUGUGACUUAUCUUUCCUUGUUCAGUUGUGUGUGUGUGUGUGUGUGUGUGUGUGUGUGUACCUUAGCCAACAAGUCAUCUUGCUUACAGAAUUCUUUGUUGAAAAACUUUUAAAUAGUUUUAAUUGAUUGUUUUUCUUUUUUUGUCUGAGGUGUAUAUUUUUAUCCAUAUGGAGAUAGAGAAGCCUAACAUUCUUUGGCUUAAAGUGAAAACCUCUAAUUAAAACUGUCUCUGGCUUUUGGACCCAAAGCACCAUGAAGGACUGGAAAUUUUAAACAAGGCAUACAAAACAGGCUUUGGUCUGGAUUUGGCUCAUGGACUGUAGUUUCCCGACCCCUGUUGUAGAGACCAAUAGUCCAAACUGAAGGUGGUCUGUGAUAAAAUGGAAAAAACAAAAUAAAACAAACAAAAAAAAAAUGCAAGGCAGUAUAUAAUAGUAGACAUGUAAGUCACUGUAGGGUGACAGAACCAUCAUUCUGAGAUUAUAUGCUUCCUAUUUUGUG